rnacentral:lncRNA from 1 species
CGCGAUUUUCAUCAAUUUCUUCGUUACUUAUAUGUUUUUAAGAUUACAUUCAAAUUGAAUUCAACUUUUCCUCAAAUUUCUCUUCAUUUAGAAUCUCAAUCUCUCAAGAGGUGAUUAUUUCUUUGAAUAAAAAUUAACCUUAAUCUUCAAAAAUGCAAACUGCAAUAUCUUUUCAUUGCUCGCCGGAAGUGGAAGGCCUGGGAGAAUCACUUCGGCAACCAGAAGAAGAAACAUGAUGGAGGCGGCGACGAUCAACCGCGAAGAACCGACUAGAGAUGAGAGAAAUAGGAGAGAGAGAGGAAAAAGGCGAGAGGAGAGAGAGAGAGAAGAGAAAGAGAGGAGAGAUGUUUUUGUAGCAAGUUUUCUGAAAUUUUGAAGAAAUCUCCAGCAUACAGCCAUCUUCAAUAGGAGAGUUCUCUUGCAAAAAAACUUGCAACCACUAUGCCAGUCAGAAUGCCGAGCAAAUCAGGCAACAAUGCUGGGACAGGCCCUCCAAAAGACAUCAACUCCUCCAUGGUUAAUUUUAAAAUAGUUCCCUCCAACCAGAUCCCGAUCUGAGGCAAUUUUUCAUGUGUGCAAUAUGCAUUUGACCAGGAACCGUCAAGCAAUUAACGAAAAAAGGCGAGGAUGAAUCCGAUCACCACCACCGCUGCGAGCCGCACGCCGAAGAGAUCUAGCAUCAGCCGCAAAUGGAGCUACCGGCAUCGAAUUUCCACUCUGCAUCUCGUCGUUCCUUGGAGUCCUCAUCUCCGUUGAAUUCACAUUCCGCCGCCGCCGUCCUCGUCGCCGCGAGAUCUACGUCGUCUGGCGCGGCCCCUCCCGCCACCGCCGUACUCCAGUUUACCGCGCAGCUAUUGGGCGGAGGAGAGAAAGAAAUGGGGAGGGAGAGAGAGAGCGUGCAGAGAGGGAGAGAGGAGAGAAUGAGAGAGGCUAGGGUUAGGUGUGAGAAUUUGACAAUUUAUAUAGAGGGG